AACGAACGCUGGCGGCAUGCCUAACACAUGCAAGUCGAACGAGACCUUCGGGUCUAGUGGCGCACGGGUGCGUAACGCGUGGGAACCUGCCCUUAGGUUCGGAAUAACUCCCCGAAAGGGGUGCUAAUACCGGAUAAUGUCUUCGGACCAAAGAUUUAUCGCCUUUGGAUGGGCCCGCGUUGGAUUAGCUAGUUGGUAGGGUAAAAGCCUACCAAGGCGACGAUCCAUAGCUGGUCUGAGAGGAUGAUCAGCCACACUGGGACUGAGACACGGCCCAGACUCCUACGGGAGGCGGCAGGGGGGAAUAUUGGACAAGGGGCGAAAGCCUGAUCCAGCAAUGCCGGGUGAGUGAUGAAGGCCUUGGGGUUGUAAAGCUCUUUUACCCGGGAUGAUAAUGACGGUACCGGGAAAAUAAGCCCCGGCUAACUCCGUG
rnacentral:rRNA from 1 species